rnacentral:rRNA from 1 species
GACGAACGCUGGCGGCGCGCCUAACACAUGCAAGUCGAGCGGAGCCUGGCGGGUAGCAAUACUCGUCAGGUCGAGCGGCGGACGGGUGAGUAACGCAUGAGGAACCUGCCUCGAGGUGGGGAAUACCAGCCGAAAGGUUGGCUAAUGCCGCAUGUGAUCCGAGGGACCCCGGUCCCUCGGAGGAAAGUCGCGAGACGCCUCGAGAGGGCCUCGUGUCCCAUCAGGUCGUUGGUGGGGUAACGGCCCACCAAGCCGAAGACGGGUAGCGGGUCUGAGAGGAUGAUCCGCCACAGUGGCACUGAGACACGGGCCACACUCCUACGGGAGGCAGCAUG